rnacentral:rRNA from 1 species
UACGUAGGGGGCAAGCGUUGUCCGGAUUUAUUGGGCGUAAAGAGCGUGUAGGCGGCCAAGCAGGUCAGCUGUGAAAACUCGAGGCUCAACCUCGAGACGUCGGUUGAAACCGCUUGGCUAGAGUCCGGAAGAGGAGAGUGGAAUUCCCGGUGUAGCGGUGAAAUGCGCAGAUAUCGGGAAGAACACCCGUGGCGAAGGCAGGUCUCUGGGCCAUUACUGACACUGAGAAGCGAAAGCAUGGGGAGCGAACAGG